AAAUAUUGGCCAGAGACCGAUAGCGCACAAGUAGAGUGAUCGAAAGAUGAAAAGUACUUUGAAAAGAGGGUUAAAUAGCACGUGAAAUUGUUGAAAGGGAAGCGUUUAUGACCAGACCUUCGUCGGGCGGAUCAUCCGGUGUUCUUCACCGGUGCACUUCGCCCGGCUUAGGCCAGCAUCGGUUUUCGUAGGGGGAUAAAGGCCUAGGGAAUGUGGCUCCCUCCGGGGAGUGUUAUAGCCCUGGGCGUAAUACCUUUACGGGGACCGAGGUUCGCGCUCCGGCAAGGAUGCUGGCGUAAUGGUCAUCAACGACCCGUCUUGAAACACGGACCAAGGAGUCGAACAUUUAUGCGAGUGUUUGGGUGUUAAACCCUUGCGCGUAAUGAAAGUGAACGUAGGUGAGAGCCCGUACGGGUGCAUCAUCGACCGAUCUUGAUGUUUUCGGAUGGAUUUGAGUAAGAGCAUAACUGUUCGGACCCGAAAGAUGGUGAACUAUGCGUGGAUAGGGUGAAGCCAGAGGAAACUCUGGUGGAGGCUCGCAGCGGUUCUGACGUGCAAAUCGAUCGUCAAAUCUG
rnacentral:rRNA from 1 species